rnacentral:rRNA from 1 species
UUAGCGGCGGACGGGUGAGUAACACGUGGGUAACCUGGCCUGUAAGACUGGGAUAACUCCGGGAAACCGGGGCUAAUACCGGGAUUGGUUGUUUGAACCGCAUGGUUCAAACAUAAAAGGUGGCUUCGGCUACCACUUACAGAUGGACCCGCGGCGCAUUAGCUAGUUGGUGAGGUAACGGCUCACCAAGGCAACGAUGCGUAGCCGACCUGAGAGGGUGAUCGGCCACACUGGGACUGAGACACGGCCCAGACUCCUACGGGAGGCAGCAGUAG